rnacentral:rRNA from 1 species
UUAAAGGUCCUCCCUGCCCAAUGAAUAUUCAAUGGCCGCGGUACCUUGACCGUGCUAAGGUAGCAUAAUAAUUUGUCUUUUAAUUAAAGACUGGAAUGAAUGGAACUACGAGAGUUAAGCUGUUUCCUUUAUAUAAAUAAAAAUUAACCUAUAAGUGAAGAGGCUUAUAUUUCAUAAAAAGACAAAAAGACCCUAUUGAGCUUUACUACCCACUAAGUUUUUCUUAGCUUUAGUUUUGUUGGGGCAACAAGAGAGGAACUUUAUCUUCUCUAAUAUUCUAAAUUAAUACAGAUCCGCUAUGCGAUUAUUAGAAAAAGCUACCAUAGGGAUAACAGGCUAAUCCUUUUUAAGAGAUCAAAUUGACAAAAGGGUUUGGCACCUCGAUGUUGGCUUAGGGGACCAUUUAGAUGCAGAAGUCUAAACUGUGGGUUUGUUCAACCUUUAAAACCCUAC